UCCGUGACUGACUCUGCAAUUCUCCGCUUCUAUGACUGAUUCUGCAACUGAUUCUGCAGCUCUGCAACUCUGAUUCUGUGUCUGUGAUUCUGUGACUCUGACUCUGUAAUUCUCUGCUUCUGUGACUGUGAUUCUGUGACCCUGAUUCUGCAGCUCUGCAAGUCUGUGACUCUGUGGCUGUGGUUCUGUGACUCUGUGGCUGUGAUUCUGUGAUUCUGUGACUGUGACUCUGAUUCUCUCUGCGUGUCCCACUGAUUCCUGUCUCUGCCAGGUACCAACAAGACCUGUUCAGUCAAUACUUUCUGUUAGAGUUGAGUCUACAGUUCAACUGUCUUAAUUUUAAAAUUAUAAAUUAUAAAUUCCAAUAGCUACAUGAAGUAUUUGGUGUAGGAUCAGCUAUUUGGGGGAUUUUAGGACAUUCUUAAACAGCAAAGGUCUGUUUUGGCCCUCUGGGAACCUCUCAUGGGCAUGUUCCACCAAUGGCAAAUAUUUACUCCAUUCAGGUCCAAAUCCUGAUCCCACACACAGUUUUCUCUAAUAAGUGCUUGGAGACUUCUACUUCAGCUGCAUCACUUUGGAAGUUGUGCUGUUGAGAUCUUACUACAUCCCACCCUCGUUAGCAAAUUAAGCUGUGUGUAAAACUCCUCUCCUGGUCCUCCUUGGGCCUUUGGUGCUCACUCAGACCAUCCCCACUGACUUCACUCAGCACCAGGAGCCACCUUCUGAGUGUGAGAACAGAGCAGAAAUCCAAAUCUUACUGGAAAACAAAAAAUUAUUCUGCUUGGGUUGGAUUUGUUAAAAACUCUUAGGAAAGAAUGUGAUGAAUCAGAAAUAAUCCCCCCAGGUGAUCUGCUCCUGGUGCUGGAACCACGGGAGAAUCAGAUGCAGUGGAGAGGAUGGAGGAACAGUAUUCCCAGGGAAGUGGAGAAUCUGGAAAUAAUGCCCUUGAAGUGAUAAAGCACUAAAUGUAAAUGGAA